AGAGUUUGAUCAUGGCUCAGGAUAAACGCUGGCGGCGCACAUAAGACAUGCAAGUCGAACGGAAGUCGUUACGAAAUGGAAUGAAGAUUUAUCUGAUUGAAGUUUUGUAACAAUGGCUUUAGUGGCGGACUGGUGAGUAACACGUAAGCAAUCUACCUAUUAGAGGGGAAUAACAAUGAGAAAUCAUUGCUAAUACCGCAUAAGCUUGUAGUACCGCAUGGUACAGCAAGAAAAGGAGCAAUCCGCUAAUAGAUGAGCUUGCGGCUGAUUAGCUAGUUGGUGUGGUAACGGCAUACCAAGGCAACGAUCAGUAGCCGGGCUGAGAGGCUCUUCGGCCACAUUGGGACUGAGAUACGGCCCAGACUCCUACGGGAGGCAGCAGUCGGGAAUUUUGCGCAAUGGAGGAAACUCUGACGCAGUGACGCCGCGUAUAGGAAGAAGGUUUUCGGAUUGUAAACUAUUUUAGUCAGGGAAGAAAAAUGACAGUACCUGAAGAAUAAGCUCCGGCUAACUACGUGCCAGCAGCCGCGGUAA
rnacentral:rRNA from 1 species